GUUUUUCACUCUAUUCUUAUAGAGAAGUGUUAUAACCCCCAUAAUUCUAGAGUUUAAGUGCAAGUUAUAGACACCCUUAUUGGGUUGUCCUUGUUACUGCAUCCAUUUUCUUUCUGAAGGUGGCUUAAACUUCCUCUUUAAUUUGUAGACUUGUAUUUACAUAUAACACAAAAAAGAAAAGGAAGAAAGAUAAGUAACACAGCACUUUUCCUUUUUGUUGCCUCUGAAAUAUUUCUUCAGCCAGUGUUGCUACUUAAGAUUUUUACUGGUCACUGAGAUCUCAUUGUUGUUGAACUAUUUGUUUUCUUUUUAGAAGCUA
rnacentral:misc_RNA from 1 species